GCCUGGGUGGCUCAGUUGAGCAUCUGACUUGGGCUCAGGUCAUGAUCUCACGGUUCAUGGGUUCAAGCCCCACAUCAGGCU
rnacentral:tRNA from 1 species